CAUUUCCUAUAAAGCCUUGUCCCGCUGAGAGCUCAGGGCUGCACCCUCCUGUUCUGCUGCAUCAGAGAGGGUGAUAUAACCCAAGCUCACACUUGUAACUAAAGACCCUAGUGUGAUUGCAUCGGAGUCGGCUUCCUGGUGAUCUUUUGGGGUUCACGGACACCUUCUGGGACAGCAGCUCCUGUUCGGUUUGGCUUCCCUGUUACUUGGAUAAAACCCUGACCAGAAGCAACUUGGGGUUGGGUGUGGGGAGUGGCUGUUUUGUUUUGUUUUGUUUUGUUUUGUUUUGUUUUGUUUUUCUUCAUCUUACAGCUCCAAAUGGUAGUCAUCACUGAAGGAAGCCAAGACAGGAAUCUGGAGGCAGGACCUGAAGCAGAGGACCCUCAGCGGAGGUUCCUAUCCUGGGUAACAAGUGGACACCAACUAGACAGAAUAUUCCCCAGCCCUGCUGUGACGGGUAGUCACUGUGGACAAGACUGGUGUCUGGUACCAAGGGAAAGGUGGGGCAGCAGACUAAAGCUGGAGUUCAGGGCAGGCUCGGGGUCUUGGUCACACACCAUCAUAUAAGGAAGAAGCUCAGAGCAGGGUUCUAAGGUGACAUGUGACAUGUUCAGGUGCUGUGUGCUAUGUUCCCUGGGCUUUCCAGGUUACACAGAAAACUUGCUGUUUGAAUGCAGAUCCUGGGGUUCCACGAAGGCACUGUGCCUUUGGUUAUACGUGAGCCUCAGUUUCCUCUUGCCAAGGAGGGUGGGGUGAGUAUCAAAUAGGCGCUGGGUCCCAUGUGUCCCUCAGGUCCAGUGCACAGCGUGGCUGCUGCUUCUCCUUAUAGACUGUGAAAUGUAAGAUACCCCAAGUCCACAUAUUGUUGGACUUUCUUUCUUCAAGUUGGUGUGGUGUUCUGAGAGCACACAUUUCUCUGCAACAGCCACGCCCCAAACUGGAAUUCCCAAGGAUGCAUCACACUGAGCAGGACGGUUCACUCAGCCCCAAGCGUGGUCGCCCAUAAAACUUGACACGGACACGGUGCCCCUGGCAGGUUUUAUUUAUAAUCUGCCUGUGAUCUGCUUCGGGAAUACAAGUGAGUCUGUGUGGAGUGGCUCUCAGGUGUGGGGGUGGAUGGAGUGGGCGGGGGUGUCACAUAAUUGUUGCUGCGUUUGCAGUAUUUUCUCCCUAUAAUCUGGGAAGCUCUGCAUGCUGGAAUAAUCUCGCAGGGAAUAUUCUGAGAAGGGACCUGUCUUCCUGUAAUGAAAAGUUUUGGAAUUAUUAGUCCUAAGCAGCAUCUUUGAGAUUAUCUGUGACCUUGGCCUCCCGAUCAAAUAGCAAUUGGAAGAGCUCCUUCGACUGUCUCUCAGAGAGGCAUUUUCUAAUUAGUACUUGGAACCUUCCAGAACCAGAAGCACGCCAUUUAAGUCUUCAACGCUCAUUCCGUGGUCCUCAGAUCCUCAGAGGAGGCUCUGUGUCCGCACCGGAUCUGUCUCCUUUGAACCUACCUUUCUGGUCCCCAUUCAGUCCUGUGCAGUCCAGAGAACCUGGCAGCUCUUCUGCAGCCAGAUCUAUCUUUGAACUGCUGUAUCUCUUGUGGGUGAAAAUGUGGGGCUCUGCUUCAGAGCAAAAUUCAAAACAAUCCAGGCUCUGGCAGGCUUUCUUCUUUCCACUGGUGUUUGUACUUAGUGUUUAAUAAAUAUGGGGAGGGUCAAAAUAUGAUGUCAUUAGCACAAAUUUGAUUGAACAUAUCCGGGUUUUGUUUCUGGCCAGUGCUGGAAAGUGACUUGUGAUCGCAUGCUUCCUAAGUACGUGCUCACUAAGCUGCACCCCCCACUCCCUGUAUCAAAUUAAAAAAAAAUAAAAGUAAGGGCAUUGUGUUUGUAAAUGGAA
rnacentral:lncRNA from 1 species